rnacentral:lncRNA from 1 species
GAAAAGCUUGGAGUUAUACUUGUGAGGCUUUAUGGAGAAGAUGAUGGAUUUUAAGGGUGAGAAAGUAGAAGACAUGGUUGUGAUGGCUGAGGAAUGGCUGGGGUGGCCGCUAGAAUGCUUGCAGCAGCUGAAUGGAGGAAGAAAAGUGGUCUGGUGGUUGCUGAAGGGAGUUGAUGGCUUCUAGGAUGCUUGCAGCAGCCGAGUGAGGGAGUGUUGGCUGAAGAAAAAUUAGUGCCCUUUGUUUGAGCCAUGAAUGCCAAUUUAUAGAGGGUGAGGGUUUUCCUUUAUUUCUCAUAGGUAAAGGGAGGUGCUGAAACCAGUCUAUUUCUAGUGGUUAAAAGAGAGCACUAGGGCAUGCUAUUUUCCAGCAUGUAAAGCUAGGUACCAUAAACUGAUUAUUUCCUAUGGAUAAAAGGAAGCACUGAAAACUGCUUGUUUCCAGUGGGUAAUAGGAAGUGCUGGAAAAGACUUGUUUCCAACGGGUAAAG